rnacentral:rRNA from 1 species
GUCGAACGGACGGAUUGGAGCUUGCUCCAUGAAGUUAGUGGCGGACGGGUGAGUAACGCGUGGGUAACCUGCCCUAUGCAGGGGGAUAACGUUUGGAAACGAACGCUAAUACCGCAUAACCUAAUUGGUUUGCAUGAACUAAUUAGCAAAGAUUUAUCGGCAUAGGAUGGACCCGCGUUGGAUUAGCUAGUUGGUGAGAUAACAGCUCACCAAGGCGACGAUCCAUAGCCGGCCUGAGAGGGUGAACGGCCACACUGGGACUGAGACACGGCCCAGACUCCUACGGGAGGCAGCAGUGGGGAAUAUUGCACAAUGGGCGCAAGCCUGAUGCAGCGACGCCGCGUGAAGGAUGAAGGUUUUCGGAUCGUAAACUUCUAUCAGCAGGGAAGAACUAAGUGACGGUACCUGACUAAGAAGCCCCGGCUAACUACGUGCCAGCAGCCGCGGUAAUACGUAGGGGGCAAGCGUUAUCCGGAUUCACUGGGUGUAAAGGGUGCGUAGGUGGCAUGGUAAGUCAGAUGUGAAAACUUGGGGCUCAACUUCAAGAUUGCAUCUGAAACUACUAAGCUAGAGUGCAGGAGAGGA